CGGGGUAUAGCUCAGCCUGGUAGAGCACCGGCUUUGGGAGCCGGGGGUCGCAAGUUCGAAUCUUGCUGCCCCGACCA
rnacentral:tRNA from 1 species